AUGCUUACCUGGCAGGGGAGAUACCGUGAUCACAAAGGUGGUUCUCUCAGGGCGAGGCUCAUCCAUUGUACUGCGGGUGUGUUGAUCUCUGCAAUUUCCCCAGAUGCGGGAAACUCGACUGCAUAAUUUGUGAUAGUGGAGGAUUGUGUGCGCCCUUUCCCCUG
rnacentral:snRNA from 1 species